CCUACGGGAGGCAGCAGUGGGGAAUAUUGGGCAAUGGGCGCAAGCCUGACCCAGCAACGCCGCGUGAAGGAAGAAGGCUUUCGGGUUGUAAACUUCUUUUGACAGGGAAGAGCAGAAGACGGUACCUGUCGAAUAAGCCACGGCUAACUACGUGCCAGCAGCCGCGGUAAUACGUAGGUGGCAAGCGUUGUCCGGAUUUACUGGGGGUAAAGGGCGUGUAGCCGGGCUGACAAGUCAGAUGUGAAAUCCGGGGGCUCAACCCCCGAACUGCAUUUGAAACUGGUGGUCUUGAGUAUCGGAGAGGCAGGCGGAAUUCCUAGUGUAGCGGUGAAAUGCGUAGAUAUUAGGAGGAACACCAGUGGCGAAGGCGGCCUGCUGGACGACAACUGACGGUGAGGCGCGAAAGCGUGGGGAGCAAACAGGAUUAGAUACCCUAGUAGUC
rnacentral:rRNA from 1 species